UACGUAGGGCGCAAGCGUUGUCCGGAAUUAUUGGGCGUAAAGCGUGCGUAGGCGGCUCGCUAAGUCGGUUGUGAAAUCCCUGGGCUUAACCUGGGAACUGCAGUCGAUACUGGCGGACUAGAGUACGGUAGAGGGUGGCGGAACUCCGGGUGUAGCGGUGAAAUGCGUAGAUAUCCGGAAGAACACCGAUGGCGAAGGCAACCACCUGGGCCUGUACUGACGCUGAGGUACGAAAGCGUGGGGAGCAAACAGG
rnacentral:rRNA from 1 species